rnacentral:rRNA from 1 species
UGGGGAAUAUUGCACAAUGGGCGAAAGCCUGAUGCAGCGACGCCGCGUGCGGGAUGAAGGCCUUCGGGUUGUAAACCGCUUUUAAUUGGGAGCAAGCGAGAGUGAGUGUACCUUUUGAAUAAGCACCGGCUAACUACGUGCCAGCAGCCGCGGUAAUACGUAGGGUGCAAGCGUUAUCCGGAAUUAUUGGGCGUAAAGAGCUCGUAGGCGGUUUGUCACGCCUGGUGUGAAAGUCCAUCGCUUAACGGUGGAUCUGCGCCGGGUACGGGCAGGCUAGAGUGCAGUAGGGGAGAUUGGAAUUCCCGGUGUAACGGUGGAAUGUGUAGAUAUCGGGAAGAACACCAAUGGCGAAGGCAGAUCUCUGGGCUGUUACUGACGCUGAGGAGCGAAAGCAUGGGGAGCGAACAGGAUUAGAUACCCUGGUAGUCCAUGCCGUAAACGGUGGAUGCUGGAUGUGGGACCCUUCCACGGGUUCCGUGUCGGAGCUAACGCGUUAAGCAUCCCCGCCUGGGGAGUACGGCCGCAAGGCUAAAACUCUAAAGUGAAUUGACGGGGGUC